rnacentral:rRNA from 1 species
UACGUAGGGGCCUAGCGUUGUCCGGAAUUAUUGGGCGUAAAGAGCUCGUAGGCGGUUCGGCAAGUCGGAUGUGAAAUCUCCACGCUCAACGUGGAGGGGCCAUUCGAAACUGCCGUGACUCGAGUCCGGUAGGGGAGUGUGGAAUUCCCGGUGUAGCGGUGAAAUGCGCAGAUAUCAGGAGGAACACCAAUGGCGAAGGCAGCACUCUGGGACGUGACUGACGCUGAGACGCGAAAGCGUGGGGAGCAAACAGG